rnacentral:misc_RNA from 1 species
GUGAAUCAUCAAAUCUUUGAACGCAAAUUGCACUCUCUUUCAUGCCUGUGAGUGUUCCUGUGUGAGUGUUAGUAUAAUCGAAAUCUUAGCGAUUCUUUUUGGGUGACGCACCGGAGUUUGUUUCAUUUUAGCUCUUUAAGAGACCUAAAAUUAACCUUUUUUUUGUGCUCUCUUUGUGACGUAAAUAAUUUUUUUUAUUCGUUUACCUUGGUGGUAACUAUUUUAUUAGAUCGUGAAUCU